rnacentral:rRNA from 1 species
GACGAACGCUGGCGGCGUGCUUAACACAUGCAAGUCGAACGGAAAGGCCCUGCUUUUGUGGGGUGCUCGAGUGGCGAACGGGUGAGUAACACGUGAGUAACCUGCCCUUGACUUUGGGAUAACUUCAGGAAACUGGGGCUAAUACCGGAUAGGAGCUCCUGCUGCAUGGUGGGGGUUGGAAAGUUUCGGCGGUUGGGGAUGGACUCGCGGCUUAUCAGCUUGUUGGUGGGGUAGUGGCUUACCAAGGCUUUGACGGGUAGCCGGCCUGAGAGGGUGACCGGCCACAUUGGGACUGGGAUACCGCCCAGACUCCUACGGGGGGCAGCAGUGGGGAAUAUUGCACAAUGGGCGGAAGCCUGAUGCAGCAACGCCGCGUGCGGGAUGACGGCCUUCGGGUUGUAAACCGCUUUCGCCUGUGACGAAGCGUGAGUGACGGUAAUGGGUAAAGAAGCACCGGCUAACUACGUG